rnacentral:rRNA from 1 species
UGGGGAAUAUUGCACAAUGGGCGCAAGCCUGAUGCAGCGACGCCGCGUGGAGGAUGAAGGCUUUCGAGUUGUAAACUCCUGUUAAGUGGGAAGAAAUACCUUAGGUUAAUACCCUGGGGGGAUGAUGGUACCACUAGAGAAAGCACCGGCAAACUUCGUGCCAGCAGCCGCGGUAAUACGAAGGGUGCGAGCGUUAGUCGGAGUUACUGGGCGUAAAGAGCAUGUAGGCGGUUUAUUAAGUUAGUUGUUAAAUUUCACGGCUUAACUGUGAGCAUGCAGCUAAUACUGAUAAGCUAGAGCAUAGAAGAGAGAGGUGGAAUUCCCGGAGUAGCGGUAAAAUGCGUAGAUCUCGGGAGGAACACCGGUUGCGAAGGCGGCUUCUUGGUCUAUUGCUGACGCUAAAGUGCGAAAGCGUGGGGAGCAAACA